AUAUCAACAUAACGCUGGUGGGGAAGCCGGUCUCCUGGUCCGUGCCGGUCUUGAGGCCCGUAAGCUAGGGGAGCAAUCCGGAUUAGAUACGCGGGUAGUCAUAGCCGUAAACGAUGCUCACUAGGUGUGGGGGAAUCAUUCAUCCGUGCUGCAGUUAACGAGUUAAGUGAGCCGCCUGGGGAGUACGCCCGCAAGGGUGAAACUCAAAGGAAUUGGCGGGACCCCGCACAAGCGGUGGAGCGUGUGGUUUAAUUGGAUGGUAAGCCAAGAACCUUACCAGGGCUUGACAUGCAGGUGGUACCAACCCGAAAGGGAAGGGACCCUUUCCUUUUGGAAAGGGAGCCUGCACAGGUGGUGCACGGCCGUCGUCAGCUCGUGCCGUGAGGUGUUGGGUUAAGUCCCGCAACGAGCGCAACCCCUGCCCUUAGUUGCCAGCGGUUCGGCCGGGCACUCUAAGGGGACUGCCGGCGACGAGCCGGAGGAAGGAGGGGACGACGUCAGGUACUCGUGCCCUUUAUGCCCUGGGCUACACACGCGCUACAAUGGGUGGUACAAUGGGUUGCUACUCCGCGAGGAGGAGCUAAUCCCUAAAACCAUCCCCAGUUCAGAUCGCAGGCUGCAACCCGCCUGCGUGAAGCCGGAAUCGCUAGUAAUCGCGGAUCAGCCACGCCGCGGUGAAUACGUUCCCGGGGUUUGCACUCACCGCCCGUC
rnacentral:rRNA from 1 species